rnacentral:tRNA from 1 species
GCGGUUGUAGUUCAGUGGCUAGAACAUGCGGUUGUGGUCCGUAAGACGGGAGUUCGAUUCUCCCCUUCCGCC